rnacentral:lncRNA from 13 species
CCCUUUACGCGUUAUGUUCGGCGUUUGGACCGGAGUGGCGGUGCGACGGAGGGGCGUAACAUUACACAGUUUAAAAAAUAAAUACGUUAGUUUCAGCGAUAUAACCCAAGAAAGUAUAGCAAACGAUGCAGAAAAUAGCAAUGCAUCAGAUAAUAUAGAUUUACAUGUUUUAUCUGAUAGAGAACAUGUGUACAUGAGAAAAGGGAAUAAAAAUAAAAGAAUAAGAAAAGGAAUUAGAUAUGCUGGUAAUCUGUCCGAUGACAAAUUAAAUGAAAUGUCUCCAGAAAGUUUACAAAAAUUUAUUAAAAAAAUAAAAGUUAUAUAAAAGGAAUAAAAUUAUUAAAAGUGUUCGUAGAAAGAAACAAAGACAGAAAAGAAAGAUUGAAUCUUUACAAAACUUAACAAUAAAUCUACGAAAGCAAGAUUAUAUUUCCUCUAAUUCAGAAGAAAUAUUAAAGGUAAGAAGAUAUAAUAUUACAACAUGAUUGCUAACAACGAACAAGGAGUUGUGGGAGUAUCAACCAUCACGAUGCAAUUGAUCGCAGCCACUUAAAACCUGGGGUAUUUAAUAAAAAAAAUUUAUAUUAAAUUAGCAACGUGGGUGUAAAAAUCAUAAUUUUAUGUCAACUGUUGAAACUCUUGACUCUGAAAUACUGUUACUAAAAACAUAAGUUACAUAAGUUACCUAGUUGUGUUAGCAACGGAAUUUCAGGAAGUGUCAAAUUUUGAUUUUAAUGUAACUUUAUAUACGUAUAAAUCAAACAGAUACAAAGUAUCAGUAGCUGCCCAAAAAUUAUGUAACAUUUACUGUAACUUACAUGUAAAUAAAGUUUCAUUAAAAUAAGAAUUUGACUCUUCGCAAAAUUACUUUGAGAGUAACGUAGUGAAUUUGCAGUUUCAAUGAAAACAUGUAUAUAUAAUAAUUAUACUGAAAUUGAACAAAAAGCAUUAAUUAGUAAAGAUAUAUCAAUAAAAUUGUAAAUAUAAAGGAUAAGUGUACGGAAUGAAACCCAAUAAACGGAAAUGGAGUUUAAUAGAUAGACAAUUUGGAUUAAAAAUAAUCCAUUUUAAUUUAUUUGAAUACAUUUUAAAUUGAAAGAAUAGCACUGUCAUUUCAAUCUUAUGUCAUACAUUAAAAUGCAUUGCGUGACUCGCAAAAACUUCUUUUGGAUUGAAAUAAUAGGAAUCUUGUAGUUUAAAUCCUAUUUUAAAAUUGAUUCAGACUACAGAAUUCUUAAGCUUUAAUAGGAUUGAAAUGAAUUCAGAGAAUCAAGAAUUUGGAUUCAACAACAGCUACACGAAUCCAUUUCUAUCCAGCUCCGUUUGCUUGAUAGACAUAAUAUAUAUUAUGUCUAUCAAGUCUGUCAUAUCUAUCUGUAAUAAGUAUAUACUUAUUAAACAAAACGGUGUAAUAAGUAAAUUAAAUAUUACAUAGUUAAUUUAGUAAUUAUAAGAGAUAGAUGGGAUGGAUGGAUCCAUAAAGUGUGACUACGAUAAAAAGUUGUAAGCCAAGUCUUUCUUGGUAUUAAACUGAAUAAAUAAAUUAUUCUCCUUAAA